GUGCCAGCCGCCGCGGUAAUACCAGCUCCGCGAGUGGUCUGGGCUUUUAUUGGGCCUAAAGCGCCCGUAGCCGGCCUGGUAAGUUCGUGUCUAAAUACCGAGGCUCAACCUCGGAAAUGGUGCGAAUACUACCAGGCUAGGGGGCGAGAGAGGCUGGGAGUACUCCUGGAGUAGGGGCGAAAUCCGUAGAUCCCAGGAGGACUACCAGUGGCGAAGGCGCCCAGCUAGAGCGCGCCCGACGGUGAGGGGCGAAAGCCGGGGCAGCAAACCGGAUUAGAUACCCGGGUAGUCCCGGCCGUAAACUAUGCGGACUAUGUGUCAGGUGGGCUUAGGGUCCACCUGGUGCAACAGGGAAGUCCUUUAAGUCCGCCGCCUGGGGAGUACAGCCGCAAGGCCGAAACUUAAAGGAAUUGGCGGGGGAGCACCACAAGGGGUGGAACCUGCGGCUCAAUUGGAGUCAACACCUGGAAUCUCACCGGGGGAGACCGCAGAAUGACGGCCAGGCUGACGACCUUGCCAGACUCGCGGAGAGGAGGCGCAUGGCCGUCGCCAGCUCGUGUUGUGAAAUGUCCGGUUAAGUCCGGCAACGAGCGAGACCCCCACCCCUAGUUGCUACUCUGGCCUCCGGGCUGGAGGCACACUAGGGGGACUGCCGGCGUUUAAGCCGGAGGAAGGAGGGGGCCACGGCAGGUCAGCAUGCCCCGAAACUCCCGGGCCGCACGCGGGUUACAAUGGUAGGGACAGCGGGAAUCCAAACCCGAAAGGGGGAGGCAAUCCCUUAAACCCUGCCUCAGUUGGGAUCGAGGGCUGAAACUCGCCCUCGUGAACGAGGAAUCCCUAGUAACCGCACGUCAACAACGUGCGGUGAAUACGUCCCUGCUCCUUGCACACACCGCCCGUCGCUCCACCCGAGCGGGGGAGGGGUGAGGCUCUCUGCUUCGGUGGGGAGUCGAACUUCUUUCCUGCAAGGGGGGAGAAGUCGUAACAAGGUAGCCGUAGGGGAACCUGCGGCUGGAUCACCUCCUU
rnacentral:rRNA from 1 species